GACGAUUGGAAGUAAAAGUCGUAACAAGGUUUCCGUAGGUGAACCUGCGGAAGGAUCAUUAUUGAAUAAACCUGCAGGUUGUUGCUGGCUCCUCUGAGGGGGGAGCAUGUGCACACUUGUCAUCUUUAUUUCUCCAACUGUGCACAUAUUGUAGACCUGGAUUGUUUUGGGAUUGUUCGAGUGAAAUUGAAUAGAUUGAGGACUGCUGUUGCAUUCUUGAAAGCCAGCUUUGCCUUGCAUUUUCCAGGUCUAUGUUAAUUUUCACAAACCCUUGUCGUAGAAUGUUGAAAUUGGGUCUUUUUGUACCUAUAAAAAGUUAAAUAUACAACUUUCAGCAACGGAUCUCUUGGCUCUCGCAUCGAUGAAGAACGCAGCGAAAUGCGAUAAGUAAUGUGAAUUGCAGAAUUCAGUGAAUCAUCGAAUCUUUGAACGCAUCUUGCGCUCCUUGGUAUUCCGAGGAGCAUGCCUGUUUGAGUGUCAUCAAGUUCUCAACUGCACUAGUUUUUCUCUGGUGUAGCUUGGAUGUGGGGGAUUUUGUUUUUGCAGGCUUCUGAAGAGUCUGCUCCCCUGAAAUAUAUUAGUGGUCUCUGAGCAAACUACUGCAGGUGUGAUAAUUAUCUAUGCCUUUGGUAUUCAGCAUAUAAACAGAUUGCACUGCUUCUAACAAGUUGUUUGAUAAAUUUGACCUCAAAUCAGGCAGGACUACCCGCUGAACUUAAGCAUAUCAAUAAGCGGAGGAAAUC
rnacentral:rRNA from 1 species